UCCAUCAGAAACAAAGUGAACUCUGGGAUUUCUACACUUCCUGUUUUUCUGCUGUGAUUUCAUCACUCGUCACAGUUUGUUCUGAACGUGUGAGUGAAACAUCCUGUCAUGUUGUCACCAGCUCUGUUACCUUUGUGUGUUUUUUUUAAGACUCAAACAACAUUUUCUAUGUUUGGUGAAAGUGGGCGGAGUCUAAUUCAUUGACUUGUAUAUAUGUUCUUGUGUUGAGACGUUGUUGAGACGUUUGUCUGCAGAAAUAUAAACACGUUCACUUCCCAUCGUCACAUUCUUCACACGAACAGGAACAUAAAGACAGAGUCACACAGCCUUCACUCAUUCAUACAACUGUCAGUGAACGGGUGAACCAGUGAACGGGUGAACGAGACGACUG